UACGUAGGUGGCAAGCGUUGUCCGGAAUUAUUGGGCGUAAAGCGCGCGCAGGCGGUCCUUUAAGUCUGAUGUGAAAGCCCACGGCUCAACCGUGGAGGGUCAUUGGAAACUGGAGGACUUGAGUACAGAAGAGGAAAGCGGAAUUCCACGUGUAGCGGUGAAAUGCGUAGAGAUGUGGAGGAACACCAGUGGCGAAGGCGGCUUUCUGGUCUGUAACUGACGCUGAGGCGCGAAAGCGUGGGGAGCAAACA
rnacentral:rRNA from 1 species